rnacentral:rRNA from 1 species
CAGUAGCCACGGGAAUACAGAGGGUGCAAGCGUUAAUCGGAAUUACUGGGCGUAAAGCGCGCGUAGGUGGUUUGUUAAGUUGGAUGUGAAAUCCCCGGGCUCAACCUGGGAACUGCAUCCAAAACUGGCAAGCUAGAGUAUGGUAGAGGGUGGUGGAAUUUCCUGUGUUGCGGUGAAAUGCGUAGAUAUGGAAGGAACACCAGUGGCGAAGGCGACCACCUGGACUGAUACUGACACUGAGGUGCGAAAGCGUGGGGAGCAAACAGGAUUAGAUACCCCAGUAGUCCCUGUCUCUUAUACA